UGCAAAGCAGUGUCAGUGUCUGAUGCCGUGCAGCAGAGAGACGAGAGAGGAACGACACGGCAGCCUGGGUUCCGCUUCCUCUCUUCCUUGGUUUCUUCAGUAACAUCACCCUACUUUCCAGUCUACUUAGAAGAAUCAUGAGAAGAAUAUACGCCCUAUACUGCAGUCUCUUCAUAACUGACAAGAGUUUAUUGAUGUCGAGGAUAUACCCUUAAAACAGAAACUUGCAUUAUGGGUGAUAACACUUUUAUGUGUUAACAUAAAUAAGGACUCAAUGGCGCUACAAAAACCGCCAG